AUUAGCGAGUCGCGCUACGGGCAGGAUCUUGCUGGACGCGCCCCAGGCGCACCCUGAAACCCUUUGUGAACUUAUACCUUACUGUUGCCUCGGCGCUUGCCGGCCCCUAGGGGUCCCUCGGUAGACGAGUAGCAGGCACGCCGGCGGCCAAGUUAACUCUUGUUUUUACACUGAAACUCUGAGAAAAAAACAAAAAUGAAUCAAAACUUUCAACAACGGAUCUCUUGGUUCUGGCAUCGAUGAAGAACGCAGCGAAAUGCGAUAAGUAAUGUGAAUUGCAGAAUUCAGUGAAUCAUCGAAUCUUUGAACGCACAUUGCGCCCUCUGGUAUUCCGGAGGGCAUGCCUGUUCGAGCGUCAUUUCAACCCUCAGGCCUGGCUUGUGUGAUGGGGCACUGCCUGUAACAGGGCACGCCCUCAGAUCUAGUGUCUAUCUCGCCAUGACCCCGAGCGCAAUACUUCAGCCUUCGCUCUAGAAGGCCCUGGAGGGGCCCUGCCGUUAAACCCCCAACUCUUGAAAAUUUGACCUCGGAACAAGUAGGAAUACCCCCCUGAAAUUUAAACAUAUCCAUUAAGCGGGAGGAAA
rnacentral:sRNA from 1 species